rnacentral:rRNA from 1 species
GACGAACGCUGGCGGCGUGCUUAACACAUGCAAGUCGAACGGAAAGGCCCUGCGUUUGUGGGGUGCUCGAGUGGCGAACGGGUGAGUAACACGUGUGUAACCUGCCCUUGACUUUGGGAGAACUUCAGGAAACUGGGGCUAAUACCGGGUAGGAGCUCCUGCUGCAUGGUGGGGGUUGGAGAGUUUCGGCGGUUGGGGAUGGACUCGCGGCUUAUCAGCUUGUUGGUGGGGUAGUGGCUUACCAAGGCUUUGACGGGUAGCCGGCCUGAGAGGGUGACCGGCCACAAUGGGCCUGCGGGAGGGACCAGAAUCGAACCGGACGCAGUGGGGGGGAGUAUUGCGGAGUGGGGCGGCGCCUGAUGUGAAGACGCCCGGAGCGGGAUGCCGGGCUUUGAGUUGUGAACCGAUUUCGCAUGUACCGAGCAGUGCGUGACGGUAAUGGGUAAAGAAGCCACGGCUAACUACGUG